rnacentral:rRNA from 1 species
UCUGACUNGAGUGCAGAAGGGGAGAGUGGAAUUCCAUGUGUAGCGGUGAAAUGCGUAGAUAUAUGGAGGAACACCAGUGGCGAAAGCGGCUCUCUGGUCUGUCACUGACGCUGAGGCUCGAAAGCGUGGGUAGCGAACAGGAUUAGAUACCCUGGUAGUNCACGCCGUAAACGAUGAGUGCUAGGUGUUAGGCCCUUUCCGGGGCUUAGUGCCGGAGCUAACGCAAUAAGCACUCCGCCUGGGGAGUACGACCGCAAGGUUGAAACUCAAAGGAAUUGACGGGGGCCCGCACAAGCGGUGGAGCAUGUGGUUUAAUUCGAAGCAACGCGAAGAACCUUACCAGGUCUUGACAUCCCGAUGCUAUUCUUAGAGAUAGGAAGUUACUUCGGUACAUCGGAGACAGGUGGUGCAUGGUUGUCGUCAGCUCGUGUCGUGAGAUGUUGGGUUAAGUCCCNCAACGAGCGCAACCCUUAUUGUUAGUUGCCAUCAUUAAGUUGGGCACUCUAGCGAGACUGCCGGUAAUAAACCGGAGGAAGGUGGGGAUGACGUCAAAUCAUCAUGCCCCUUAUGACCUGGGCUACACACGUGCUACAAUGGUCGGUACAACGAGUUGCGAGCCGGUGACGGCAAGCUAAUCUCUGAAAGCCGAUCUCAGUUCGGAUUGGAGGCUGCAACUCGCCUCCAUGAAGUCGGAAUCGCUAGUAAUCGCGGAUCAGCACGCCGCGGUGAAUACGUUCCCGGGCCUUGUNC